UGCAUUUGUGUUAUUUAUUGAAAGAAAUGAGGAAAUGAGGAGUUCUGAUGCAGUAAUGUGAUUAGCCUGGUAUUGUGUUCACUGUGAACCUUUCCCAUUUCAAUCUUACAGGCUUCCAUUGUGCGAAACGACUGACUAUGGGUGCAUUUGCUGAAAAAUCUUUUUUAAACAGAUAUUGAAAAAGUAUAUAAUGGGUUUACUACCAAUACAACUCGCAAAGGUUCUGUGCCAAAGUAAACGUAAUUUCACGGAAGGUCAGAGCCGAAAGGAGUGCCACACAGAGAAACCUGUUAGUCCUGACAUUCAAACUAAUCAGGAAAAUCACAUAACAGUUUCUUUAUAAAGUGUACCACCUUCUGAUCAUGUGUGUAGAGGACAAGAUACUUCUGUUGCAAGGUCAUGUGCAGCUUAUAGCGUGAAGCAGAUUACUUCUCAAGGCGCCAUGAACAACAUUAAUUCCACUGGACAGAAUGUCGAGCCAGACAAGAAAGGGGGUGGAGAAGGGAACAAAUUGACAUAUGGCUUUGGACUGGUGGCUCUGCUGGGCUUGGCAUUCUAUAGGUGGUGUUGGCAAAGAGACACUCAGAGGCAGAAACAGGAGGUUGAAUCCAACUAUAAAGAGGAGUUGAAGAUUGUCUUCAAGGAGCUGGAAAAGGAGCAAAGAGAAAAGUCCAAGUUAUUCCUGAACAUGGUCGAAAAUGAUCUAAUGGAAAGGCAGCAUUUCUACUGCAGCCACUUUACUUCUAGAAAGCGCUGUUUUGAGAUCGAGAGGAAGCUGCUCGACAGGGUGGCCAGGGAACCUCUGGCCAAAGGGCUGGACAUGGAGGCCGACCUUAAGAAAAUUUUUGAAAAAGAUCAGCAUUGUGCCAACUGGUUGAACAAGGACAAGAGUAAAAAUGGCAAGAUGAUGUGGGAAUACUUCAUGUCCUGGCAGCGACAGAUCUCACAGCAGCAACACAAGAAGGCAACUGCAGCUCCAGUGAAACAACAGUCUGACCUGAAGUGACCAUUUAGAAGGAGAAGUGCAUUUGUUUCUUCACAUAACAUUGAAUUAGGGUAUUUCUGGAUCAAAUAUAAAACAUCACUAGGCAAUUGUUUAUUUAGUUUCUUUUUGGUGUUUUUUGGGGGUCACUUGGGAGUAUGGGAGGGGCCGGUAUGAAUACCAGCCCUAAACACAGAAUUUGUGUGUUUUUGUUACUGUAUAAUGGUGUUCAAUACCAAAAUUCGCAAAAACAAAAAAAAUAAAAUAAAAAUUGCUGGACAAGG